rnacentral:rRNA from 1 species
CCUACGGGUGGCAGCAGUGAGGAAUAUUGGUCAAUGGACGAGAGUCUGAACCAGCCAAGUAGCGUGAAGGAUGACUGCCCUAUGGGUUGUAAACUUCUUUUAUAUGGGAAUAAAACGUUCCACGUGUGGGAUUUUGUAUGUACCAUAUGAAUAAGGAUCGGCUAACUCCGUGCCAGCAGCCGCGGUAAUACGGAGGAUCCGAGCGUUAUCCGGAUUUAUUGGGUUUAAAGGGAGCGUAGGUGGAUUGUUAAGUCAGUUGUGAAAGUUUGCGGCUCAACCGUAAAAUUGCAGUUGAAAAUGGCAGUCUUGAGUACAGUAGAGGUGGGCGGAAUUCGAUGUGUAGCGGUGAAAUGCUUAGAUAUCACGAAGAACUCCGAUUGCGAAGGCAGUUCACUGGACUGCAACUGACACUGAGGCUCGAAAGUGUGGGUAUCAAACAGGAUUAGAUACCCUAGUAGUC